rnacentral:rRNA from 1 species
UUUAAUGGAGAGUUUGAUCCUGGCUCAGGACGAACGCUGGCGGCGUGCCUAAUACAUGCAAGUCGAGCGGAUUUAGUCGGGAGCUUGCUCCUGACUGAGUUAGCGGCGGACGGGUGAGUAACACGUAGGUAACCUGCCC